rnacentral:misc_RNA from 1 species
AAAACAACAACAAAAACGAGCCCACCGAUUUGUUUACAGAGUUGCGAUAUUUUCUGUUGUUCUAGCCUUCUCUUCACCUUGCUCUCUGCUCGAUUGUGAGUUUGCCUCUUCCUGUCUGCGCGUGUUUGUGUGUAUGUCUGCGCGUGCGUCGGCACGAAAAGGACUGCGGUGCUGUUAAUCUUCUUUUUUUUGCUCAUGCGUGCUUGAGCUACUUUUCUUUCUUUGAGUCUUCGUGGAAGCGCAGUAGAAAGCCUUCUGGGCAUUGCUCCCCCUCUUUCGUCUCCUCAUUGACGGUCACAUCGAACCUCGCCCUUUCUCUGAUAUCCCCCUCCCCCGAGCCCUUCGACUUGUGAGUGCGGCGAUGCCCUUUCGCCAGGCAGUGGCGUCCAUGCUGGCCGUGCUCGUGUUCUCCCUCGGGCUAACAUCGACGUAUGCCAGCUCACCAGCAAAAUGGGUGCCGACGCUGGCCCUUUUCGACAUCAACAAUUCCCGUAUACUUUCCACGACGGGCACAUCCGAGGCCGUUUCUCUCGGGCAGCGCAGCCUCUUCGUUUCAAGAUAUGAUCCAAACCCUUCCGUUUCCGUAGCCUCUCUCACAUUCUACGGCUCCGAGAACGGCUACGCGACCCGCACGUUUGACUUCCUCACUGUUCCCUACUGCGUGGUCGAGUCUGGGACAACCGCGGAGUGCAAUCUUCACGACCACAUGCUAUACAUGAUGUUCCGCUUUCGCCACCGCUAUGAAGCCGACUUUCACGCCGUUGUUUGGCAAGACCCCACGCCUCUCUCGAGCACGGUCAAAGCAUUGCAAGAUUUCAAGGCGCACUUGAAUCGCUCAGACGUUGUGUACCCGGAGAACGACGGGUCCAUGCGCGUGGAGGAAAGUGCUACGUGCUCCGACAUUAUGGACGAGUGCUACCUCUCACGAGCGGCGACAUACACGAGAAGCUACAAAGAAAUCGAUCCUGCCCAGUACUCCGCCCGAUUUCUCUUCCGCAUCGGCAAGCAGUACACAAUGAACGGCCCGUUGCGCGUCCGCCUCCACAGCAACCUCCCGCACGAUGCCGAGACGGUCGUAGACGUUGUGCUCGUACUGUGCCGACAGCCGUCUUCGAACCCGCUCAACCAUCGGUGGUGGAUCGAGAGCGUGACAGGCCGCUUGGCGCUUCUUGUGGUGAGCAUCGUGGCAACAUUUGCCUUCCUCACCGUGACGCGGGAGGUCGGAGAGCUGAUGGUGCGCCAGCGUACAGGCGAAGACGUAUUGGCACCAACUCUGCUCUACAGCGAAGAGGCCAGCGACGGCCCCCUCGUCUGCUUUCAGCGCCUUGCAAAGGUGGCGUCAAACAGUCUGCAGGCGGGUGCGGCGUAUGUGUGGGCCAAGAUCCAAGAACUCAUAUGCGUGAAUGCGUGCUGCGCGUCGCGCCUCCGAUGGCUGGGGGCGCGAUGCCCCCGUGUGCCUGCUCGCGAGCACACCGCAGAGUCGGAGCGCGAGAUCACCGCCCUCAACUUGACGGUCUUCUCGGAGGAGGAGGACUCGGGACCGACGUGCCGCAUCUGCCGCUGUUCAGAGCCGCGUGACGACCUCUUCGCCCCAUGCGCCUGCAACGGCUCGAGCAAGUUUGUGCACCACAACUGCCUCGAGCAGUGGCGUGAGAUGACAAGCAACCCACAGCACCGUCGCGUGUGCGCUGAAUGCAAGACGCCGUACACUUUCGUGCGCGUCGUCGUUCCGCACAAUCCCGACCUUAUCACAGGCAGCCCCAUCAUCGAGUCAGUCGUUCGGCACUUCGCGGCAAAGCUUUUGUAUCUGGCGAUGACGGUGCUCUUCGCCGUCGGCGGGGCGUACUGCUUGAAGGCUGCUUUUUUCUUGACAACGCUAUUCGACACCGGCGUCGACUGGGGCUUCUACCACGGUUAUCACUGGGUUCUCACCGCGUAUUUUCUGGCUGCGUUGACUCUCAAUCUGAGCAUAAUGGAGCCGUUCGUGAGGGACACGAUGUUGACAGGAGUGCAGUUGCUGUGUGUGCUGCUAUCACUCCUGUUCAUUGAGAUUCCCAUGAGCUACGCAAUGUCCGCCUUCCUCAGCCUCAUCUUCGAUCGCCUUUUCACAUGGGAGGUCUCGUACGGUGCUGGCCUUGUGUCUGCGGUAUUGCUGCACCUGAUGGAUACCUUUUCCAAUUUCGCCAAAAUACUCGAGUCUUUUUCGGAGGAGCGGGAGGUUGUCGCCGCACGAGCCGAGAGCGAAACGCAGCAAUCCGUGUAAGCUGUCUCACGACCUCCUCUUUCUCUCCGUCGCUCCAUGCGCACAACAGGGUUACAUCAUCCGUCACUUCUACUUCGAGCUUCCGCCUUCCCUGCUCCAUUCGCUGCGUGCUGUCUUGGGGCCUUGUUGACGCCGCACCAACAGUGAGCGCAUAGGAGAUGCCUUCGUUGCAUUUUCGACGCCAUCUUUUUGUUGUUCACUCUCUCUGCUCCCUUCUCCCCGUCAUCGGCGGGUCGCCUUUCACUCUGCGUAG